rnacentral:rRNA from 1 species
CUGUCGCAGAUUGAACGCUGGCGGCAUGCCUUACACAUGCAAGUCGAACGGCAGCACGGGCUUCGGCCUGGUGGCGAGUGGUGAACGGGUGAGUAAUACAUCGGAACAUGUCCUGUAGUGGGGGAUAGCCCGGCGAAAGCCGGAUUAAUACCGCAUACGAUCUGAGGAUGAAAGCGGGGGACCUUCGGGCCUCGCGCUAUAGGGUUGGCCGAUGGCUGAUUAGCUAGUUGGUGGGGUAAAGGCCUACCAAGGCGACGAUCAGUAGCUGGUCUGAGAGGACGACCAGCCACACUGGGACUGAGACACGGCCCAGACUCCUACGGGAGGCAGCAGUGGGGAAUUUUGGACAAUGGGCGCAAGCCUGAUCCAGCAAUGCCGCGUGUGUGAAGAAGGCCUUCGGGUUGUAAAGCACUUUUGUCCGGAAAGAAAUCAUUCUGGCUAAUACCCGGAGUGGAUGACG